rnacentral:rRNA from 1 species
UACGGAGGGUGCAAGCGUUGUUCGGAAUUACUGGGCGUAAAGCGCGUGUAGGCGGCCUUUUAAGUCUGAUGUGAAAGCCCGGGGCUCACCCCCGGAAGUGCAUCGGAUACUGGGAGGCUCGAGUACCGGAGAGGAGGGUGGAAUUCCUGGUGUAGCGGUGAAAUGCGUAGAGAUGUGGAGGAACACCGAUGGCGAAGGCAGCCUUCUGGGCCAACACUGACGCUCAUGCACGAAAGCGUGGGGAGCAAACAGG